rnacentral:misc_RNA from 1 species
UCUCCGUAGGUGAACCUGCGGAGGGAUCAUUACCGAGUGAGGGUUCCGGCCCGACCUCCAACCCUUUGUGAAUUCGACCCAGUUGCCUCGGGGGCGACCCGGCCUUCGGGCGUCGGGGCCCCCGGUGGACCACCCAACCCUGCAUCUUUGCGUCUGAGUCUUAUAUAUGAAUUAAAUCAAAACUUUCAACAACGGAUCUCUUGGUUCCAGCAUCGAUGAAGAACGCAGC